ACCCUUUAAUGUUUGAUGUUCUAACGUGGACCCGUAAUCCGGGUUGCGGACAGUGUCUGGUGGGUAGUUUGACUGGGGCGGUCUCCUCCUAAAGAGUAACGGAGGAGCACGAAGGUUGGCUAAUCCUGGUCGGACAUCAGGAGGUUAGUGCAAUGGCAUAAGCCAGCUUGACUGCGAGCGUGACGGCGCGAGCAGGUGCGAAAGCAGGUCAUAGUGAUCCGGUGGUUCUGAAUGGAAGGGCCAUCGCUCAACGGAUAAAAGGUACUCCGGGGAUAACAGGCUGAUACCGCCCAAGAGUUCAUAUCGACGGCGGUGUUUGGCACCUCGAUGUCGGCUCAUCACAUCCUGGGGCUGAAGUAGGUCCCAAGGGUAUGGCUGUUCGCCAUUUAAAGUGGUACGCGAGCUGGGUUUAGAACGUCGUGAGACAGUUCGGUCCCUAUCUGCCGUGGGCGCUGGAGAACUGAGGGGGGCUGCUCCUAGUACGAGAGGACCGGAGUGGACGCAUCACUGGUGUUCGGGUUGUCAUGCCAAUGGCACUGCCCGGUAGCUAAAUGCGGAAGAGAUAAGUGCUGAAAGCAUCUAAGCACGAAACUUGCCCCGAGAUGAGUUCUCCCUGAGACUUUAGGUCUCCUGAAGGAACGUUGAAGACGACGACGUUGAUAGGCCGGGUGUGUAAGCGCAGCGAUGC
rnacentral:rRNA from 1 species